AUUGAACGCUAGCGGGAUGCCUUACACAUGCAAGUCGAACGGAGUGGCGAACGGGAGAGUAAUGUAUCGAAACGUGCCCAGUAGCGGGGGAUAACUACGCGCACGCGUGGCUAAUACCGCAUACUUUUGGAGCAGCCGAUAUCGGGUUAGCGAGUUGGUGGGGUAACGGCUCACCAAGGCGAAGGUCCGUAGCUGGUUUGAGAGGACGACCAGCCACACUUGGACGGAGGCACGGCCCAGACUCCAACGGGAGGCAGCAGUGGGGAAUUUUGGACAAUGGGGGAAACCCUGAUCCAGCCAUCCCGCGAGGGCGAUGAAGGCCUUCGGGUUGUAAAGCGCUGUUGGCAGGAAAGCGGUACCUGCAGAAUAAGCACCGGCUAACUACGUGCCAGCAGCCGCGGUAAUAC
rnacentral:rRNA from 1 species